GAUGAAGAACGCAGUGAAAUGCGAUAAGUAGUGUGAAUUGCAGAAUUCAGUGAAUCAUCGAAUCUUUGAACGCACAUUGCGCCCCUUGGUAUCCCGAGGGGCAUGCCUGUUCGAGCGUCAUUUCACCACUCAAGCCUGGCUUGGUGUUGGGCGACGUCCUCUUUGGGGACGCGCCUCGAAACGCUCGGCGGCGUGGCACCGGCUUUAAGCGUAGCAGAAUCUUUCGCUUUGGAAGUCGGGGCCCCGUCUGCCGGAAGACCUGCUCGCAAGGUUGACCUCGGAUCAGGCAGGGAUACCCGCUGAACUUAAGCAUAUCAAAGCGGAGGA
rnacentral:misc_RNA from 1 species